AACCCUUGUCAUUAGUUGCCAUCAUUUGGUUGGGCACUCUAAUGAGACUGCCGGUGACAAACCGGAGGAAGUGGGGAUGACGUCAAGUCCUCAUGGCCCUUAUGGGUAGGGCUUCACACGUCAUACAAUGGUCGGUACAGAGGGUUGCCAACCCGCGAGGGGGAGCUAAUCCCACAAAGCCGAUCGUAGUCCGGAUCGCAGUCUGCAACUCGACUGCGUGAAGUCGGAAUCGCUAGUAAUCGUGGAUCAGCAUGUCACGGUGAAUACGUUCCCGGGUCUU
rnacentral:rRNA from 1 species